CCUGUUUGAUAGAUCUUUGGGUUCUAGCUAGGGUUUGCCUGUCAUAUCUUAUACAAUUUCUUCUGUGUGGAAAAGUUUUGGGGCAAAGCAUACUUUGUUGGAUGGAGUGUGGAUGGAGAAUACACGUUGCUCCUUUUCCCUGUCAUUUUCAACCAAAUCCAAUCAUAGUUAGAUAAAUAAACGUGGCCCGAAAUGCCACUAAGUAAUUAUCCAAAUGCAAGCAACUA
rnacentral:lncRNA from 1 species